UGGGGAAUAUUGGGCAAUGGGCGAAAGCCUGACCCAGCAACGCCGCGUGAGGGAAGAAGGCCUUCGGGUUGUAAACCUCUGUCCUUAGUGACGAAGGAAGUGACGGUAGCUAAGGAGGAAGCCCCGGCUAACUACGUGCCAGCAGCCGCGGUAAUACGUAGGGGGCGAGCGUUGUCCGGAUUUACUGGGUGUAAAGGGCGUGUAGGCGGAGGAGCAAGUCAGAUGUGAAAUCCCGGGGCUUAACCCCGGAACUGCAUUUGAAACUGUUUCCCUUGAGUAUCGGAGAGGCAAGCGGAAUUCCUAGUGUAGCGGUGAAAUGCGUAGAUAUUAGGAGGAACACCAGUGGCGAAGGCGGCUUGCUGGACGACAACUGACGCUGAGGCGCGAAAGCGUGGGGAGCAAACAGGAUUAGAUACCCUGGUAGU
rnacentral:rRNA from 1 species